rnacentral:misc_RNA from 1 species
GAUGAAGAACGUAGCGAAAUGCGAUAAGUAAUGCGAAUUGCAGAAUUCAGUGAAUCAUCGAAUUUUUGAACGCACAUUGCGCCCGCUAGUAUUCUGGCGGGCAUGCCUGUUCGAGCGUCAUUUCAACCAUCAAGCCCUGUUUAGGCUUGUGUUGGGGCCCUGCGGUUGCCGCAGCCCCCUAAAUGCAGUGGCGGGCUCGUUGUCACUCCGAGCGCAGUAGCGUUUCUCGCUCUGGGCGUGGCGGCGGGUGCUAGCCGUGAAACACCCACUAAGGUUGACCUCGGAUCAGGUAGGAAUACCCGCUGAACUUAAGCAUAUCAAUAAGCGGAGGA